GCUUCUGAAAGAUAACAGUUAUCUAUUGGUCUUAGGAACCAAAAAUUCUUGGUGCAACUCCAAGCAAAAGCU
rnacentral:tRNA from 1 species